AUCCUCUUGAGGUCCCGAGCUCUUCGAUAGAACGCUUGAAAGGCGCCGUCCUCUGUCUCUCUCUCUAAUACCCGCCCCCCGCUCUCUCCCGACAUCACUCUCUGUCUCUACUCUAGCGUCGAUUUCCUUCUCUGCUCUCUGUCUCUCUCUCUCUACUCCCCAUUUUCUCUCUCAAUGUUGAAUCCAUUUCUGUAAAAGUAGGAGCGAGCCAUGUGAUGAGGCUGUCUUCUUAAAGGCCUGAACCAGAGGAAAGGAGGGCCCGAGCCAUGGCAUCUUCCGGACCUUCAGCUCGUUUCAACACCAGCGGGGGCGCGGAUGCCCUUCAUCGUGUCCUAGCUGACCUCUGCACUAAGGAAAACCCCAAGGACGGUGCUGCAUUAGCAUUGAGGAAACAUGUGGAGGAAGAAGCUCGUGAUCUUAGUGGGGAAGCUUUUUCCCGCUUUAUGGAUCAGCUUUAUGGCUGUAUAUCUGCACUUAUAGAUGGUAAUGAUGUUGCUGAGAAUUUAGGGGCAUUGCGAGCUAUUGACGUGUUGAUUGAUGUGAAACUUGGGGAAAGUGCUUCCAAGGUUUCAAAGUUUUCCAACUUCAUAAAGGAUGUCUUCAAUUCAAAGCGUGAUCCAGAAAUCCUAAUUCUUGCAAGUAAGGUGCUUGGCCACUUAGCAAGAGGUGGAGGUGCAAUGACAGCAGAUGAGGUGGAACGCCAGGUGAAGAAUGCUCUGGACUGGCUUACCGGGGAAAGAGUUGAGUAUCGCCGCUUUGCAGCUGUCUUGAUUCUUAAAGAAAUGGCAGAAAAUGCAUCAACAGUUUUCAAUGUUCAUGUACCUGAGUUUGUGGAUGCCAUAUGGGUUGCAUUAAGGGACCCAACACUGGCAGUUCGGGAGCGGGCUGUAGAAGCAUUGCGAGCUUGUCUACGUGUCAUUGAGAAGCGUGAGACACGUUGGCGAGUUCAAUGGUAUUACCGUAUGUUUGAAGCUACACAAGAUGGCCUUGGUAAAAAUGCAUCAGUUCAUAGCAUACACGGUUCCUUACUUGCAGUUGGAGAGCUCUUGAGGAAUACGGGGGAGUUUAUGAUGUCACGGUUUAAAGAGGUCACAGAAAUUGUGUUCAAAUACCGAGAACACCGAGAUCGUCUUGUUCGCCUCAGUAUAACAUCAUUGUUACCGCGUAUCGCUCAUUUCUUGCGUGACCGUUUUGUUACAUCUCAUUUAAAGCAGAUGUGUAUGGAUCAUAUUCUCUCGGUGCUGCGUAUCCCGGCAGAACGUGCUAGCGGGUUCGUUGCUCUAGGAGAAAUGGCGGGUGUAUUGGAUGGAGAGCUUCUCAACUAUUUGCCGACAAUUACUUCCCAUUUGCGUGAUGCAAUUGCACCUCGUAAAGGAAAACCUUCCCUUGAGGCCUUGGCAUGUGUGGGGAGCCUUGCGAAUGCAAUGGGGCCUGCCAUGGAACCUCAUGUACGCAGUUUGCUGGAUGUGAUGUUUUCUGCUGGUCUUUCUCUCACCCUUGUCGAUGCCCUGCAGCAAAUAACACAAAGUAUACCCUCAUUGCUCCCUACUGUUCAAGAUCGUUUGCUCAAUUGUAUUUCACUGGUCCUUUCAAAGGCUCGUCCUCAGCAGCAAAGGAAUGGUGUACCAAUUGCUCGGACCAAUGUGGUGAAUCUACCUCAGCAUGCCUCAGAUAUUAGUGGUCCAGCAUUGGUACAGCUUGCUUUACAAACUCUAGCUCGCUUUGAUUUCAAGGGUCAUGAGCUUCUCGAAUUUGCAAUGGAAGCAGUUGUUCCUUUUAUGGAAGAUGAAGAUGGUGGUACACGGAGAGAUGCUGCUAUAUGCUGUUGUACAUUAGUAGAGAACUCCUUGCUUUGUGACACUGUCUCCCCACAAUUUAGUUCAAGUCGGGCAACCCGACCUGGUGGAAAGAAGAAGCGUCAUCUUGUGGAGAAGAUUGUUGAGGAGCUUCUUGUUGCAGCUGUUGCGGAUGCUGAUGUCAGUGUUCGGCAAUCAAUCUUUGAUUCACUACAUGCAAAUGGAGUUUUUGAUGAAUUUUUGGCACAGGCUGAUAGUUUACAUGCUAUAUUUGUUCCUCUUAAUGAUGAGGAUUUCACUGUGCGAGAGUUUGCUAUCUCAUUAGCUGGGAGGUUAUCCGAAAGAAAUCCAGCCUAUGUCCUGCCAGCACUUCGUCGACAUCUCAUACAAUUAUUGACAUACCUAGAGUACAGUGCAGAUAGCAAAUGCAGAGAAGAAAGUGCGAAGCUCUUGGGUUGCUUGAUUCGCUCAUGUGAAAGACUGAUACUACCAUAUAUAGCUCCAGCUCACAAGGCGUUAGUGGCAAAGCUAUGUGAUGGGACAGGGGUGAAUGCUAAUAACGGUGUCAUAACUGGGGUUUUAAGAACUGUUGGGGAGCUCGUUAGAGUGGGUGGUUUUGCAAUGAGGCCGUACCUUAGUGAACUAAUGCCCCUCAUGGUUGAGGCCCUCUUGGAUGGAGCUGCUGUGUUUAAACGGGAAGCGGCUGUUGCAACUCUGGGUCAGGUCGUACAAAGCACUGGCUAUGUUAUCACUCCAUACAAUGAGUAUCCACAGUUGCUUGGCUUGCUUUUGAGAUUGUUGAAUGGUGAGUUGGAAUGGUCAACACGACGAGAAGUAUUGAAGGUUUUGGGUAUUAUGGGUGCUUUGGAUCCCCAUACUCAUAAACGCAAUCAACAAGCCCUGCCAGGUUCACAUGGGGAAGUUAUGCGUGCAUCAACUGACACUAGUCAGCAUAUAAGGUCGAUGGAUGAAUUGCCAAUGGAUUUGUGGCCAUCAUUUGCAACUUCUGAAGAUUACUAUUCCACAGUGGCCAUUAAUUCACUUAUGCGUAUUCUUCGAGAUCCCUCACUCUCCAGUUAUCACCAUGAGGUGGUUCGCUCUCUUAUGUUCAUAUUCAAGUCAAUGGGCCUUGGAUGUGUUCCUUACUUGCCCAAGGUCUUGCCUGAUCUUUUUCAUAUUAUUCGUACCUGUGAAGAAGGCCUGAAGGAGUACAUAACAUGGAAGCUUGGAACCUUGGUAUCUAUUGUGCGCCAGCACAUACGAAAAUAUUUACCUGAGCUACUGUCCCUUAUAUCUGAGUUGUGGUCAUCAUUUGGUUUUGUAGCCACCAAUCGAACUGCACAACGCUCACCUAUACUUCACCUUGUAGAGCGACUUUGCUUGGCAUUGAAUGAUGAGUUCAGGACAUAUCUUCCUGACAUUCUUCCUUGCUGCAUUCAAGUAUUGAGUGAUGCUGAACGGUGUAAUGACUAUAGUUAUGUUCCUGAUAUUCUGCAUACUCUUGAAGUAUUUGGAGGGAACUUGGAUGAACAUAUGCAUCUACUCCUUCCUGCGCUGAUUCGCUUGUUUAAGGUUGAUGCCGCGGUCAACAUAAGGCGUGCUGCUAUCAAGACUCUCACUGAACUAAUCCCACGUGUCCAGGUCACUGGGCAUGUAUCUGCUUUAGUGCAUCACUUAAAGCUUGUUUUGGACGGGAAUAAUGAUGAAUUACGUAAGGAUGCUGUGGAUGCCAUUUGCUGCUUGGCGCAUGCCCUUGGGGAAGACUUUGCUCUAUUUGUACCCUCAAUACGGAAACUUUUACUGAAGUAUCGCUUGCAGCAUAAGGAUUUCAAAGAAAUCGAGGUUCGCUUGGAGAAAAAGGAGCCACUCAUUUUGGACAGUAUCUCUUAUCAAAAAUUGGUUCGCCGUUUUCCUGUGGAGGAGAUCAGUGAUCCACUGGAAGAUAAGGAGAGUGAUCCAUAUGAGGAUGGAGUCGAGCCCCAAAGACAGGCCAGAAACUACAAAGUUAAUGAUGGACGAUUGCGAAUUGCUUGGGAGGCUUCCCAACGUAGUACUAAGGAAGAUUGGGCAGAGUGGAUGCGACAUUUUAGCAUUGAACUGCUCAAAGAAUCUCCUUCUCCAGCUCUACGUACAUGUGCAAGGCUUGCACAGUUACAGCCUUUUGUUGGUCGCGAGUUGUUUGCUGCUGGGUUUGUGAGCUGUUGGGCACAAUUGAAUGAAGCUAACCAACAACAGUUAGUUCGAAGUCUUGAAAUGGCUUUCUCAUCACCGAAUAUUCCUCCUGAAAUUCUUGCUACACUCCUUAAUUUGGCAGAGUUUAUGGAGCAUGAUGAAAAGCCUUUACCAAUAGACAUUCGACUCCUAGGUGUUCUUGCAGAGAAGUGUCGAGCAUUUGCAAAGGCACUCCAUUACAAGGAAAUGGAGUUUGAAAAUGCAUGCAGCAAGAUGGAUGCCAACCCUGUUACUGUUGUUGAAACACUUAUUCAUAUAAAUAAUCAGCUACACCAGCAUGAGGCUGCUGUUGGGAUCUUGACUUAUGCACAACAACAUCUGGAUGUACAAUUAAAGGAGUCAUGGUAUGAGAAGUUGCAGAGAUGGGAUGAUGCUCUCAAGGCAUACAACAUAAAAGCUUCUCAAGCAUCCAGUCCACAUCUUGCUCUGGAUGCGACAUCAGGGAGAAUGCGGUGCCUAGCUGCAUUGGCCCGUUGGGAAGAGCUUAGCAACCUCUGCCGAGAGUACUGGACCCCAGCUGAGCCAGCUGCCCGAUUAGAAAUGGCUCCAAUGGCUGCUAGUGCUGCGUGGAACAUGGGAGAGUGGGAUCAAAUGGCAGAGUAUGUUUCUCGAUUAGAUGAUGGUGAUGAAACAAAACCACGGAUUUUAGGGAAUACUGCAACAAGUGGUGAUGGAAGUAGCAAUGGUGCUUUUUUCCGAGCUGUUUUACAUGUUCGUCGAGGCCAGUAUGACGAAGCUCGGCAGUAUGUUGAGAGAGCGAGGAAGUGUUUGGCAACAGAGCUCGCAGCUCUGGUUCUUGAGAGCUAUGAUCGUGCUUACAGCAAUAUGGUCCGGGUUCAACAACUAUCGGAACUAGAAGAGGUUAUAGAUUAUUGUACUCUACCACUACCACCAAAUCCUGUUGCUGAUGGACGAAGGGCAUUAAUUCGUAAUAUGUGGACAGAUCGCAUACAAGGAACAAAGCGAAACGUUGAGGUGUGGCAAGUACUUCUGGCAGUAAGAGCACUUGUACUUCCUCCAUCUGAAGAUAUAGAAACCUGGCUUAAAUUUGCUUCUCUUUGUCGGAAAAGCGGCCGCAUUAGUCAGGCUCGUUCUACGUUACUCAAACUCUUACAGAUUGACCCUGAAUCAGCUCCUGAAAAUCCUGUAUACUAUGGUCCUCCUCAAGUGAUGUUAGCUUACUUAAAGUAUGAGUGGUCUCUUGGAGAAGAUGCUAAGCGAAAAGAUGCAUUCUCUAAGCUGCAGGCAUUAACUAUCGAACUUGCGGGCAUGUCACAAUUGCCUGGAGCAGCAAACCUUUUGUCAGGGACACAAACUAGCUCAUUUAAUUCUUCAAGUUCUGGUGUUCCCCUUAUUGCUCGUGUUUAUUUGAAACUUGGAUCAUGGCAGUGGGCUCGGUGCCCUGGGUUGGAUGAUGACUCUAUACAAGAAAUCCUUAUGGCAUUCCGAAAUGCGACUCAUUGCGCCAAAGAUUGGGCAAAAGCAUGGCAUACUUGGGCAUUGUUUAACACUGCUGUGAUGUCUCACUAUACUUUGAGAGGUUUCCCUGCCAUUGCCGGUCAAUAUGUUGUUGAAGCUGUUACCGGGUAUUUUAAUUCAAUAGCUUGCGCAGCAAAUGCAAAAGGAGCGGAUGAUAGCUUACAGGAUAUCCUUCGUCUUCUCACGUUGUGGUUCAACUAUGGUGCUACCUCUGAAGUUCAGCAUGCCUUACAAAAGGGUUUUGCACAUGUUAAUAUUGACACAUGGUUGGUAGUUUUACCCCAAAUAAUCGCAAGGAUACAUUCAAACAAUCGUGCCGUGAGGGAAUUAAUACAAUCACUUUUGGUUCGGAUUGGACAAGUGCAUCCCCAGGCUCUCAUGUACCCUUUAUUGGUGGCUUGCAAAUCUAUAAGCUCAUUACGUAAAGCGGCUGCUCAAGAAGUGGUUGACAAGGUUCGGCAACAUAGUGGGGUGCUUGUGGAUCAGGCACAGCUUGUAUCGAAGGAAUUGAUUAGGGUUGCCAUUCUUUGGCAUGAGAUGUGGCAUGAAGCAUUGGAAGAAGCUAGUCGUCUGUAUUUUGGUGAGGAUAAUGUUGAUGGCUUUCUUAAGGUUUUGAAGCCAUUACAUGAAACUCUUGAAAAGGGGGCUGAAACCAUAAAAGAGACCGCAUUUGUUCAGGCAUAUGGCCGGGAAUUACAGGAGGCUUAUGAAUGUUGUCUAAAAUAUGGGAGAACUGGAAAAAAGGCUGAGCUCACCCAGGCAUGGGAUCUGUAUUACCAUGUUUUCAAACGUAUAGAUAAACAACUUCCUAGUCUUAUGACACUGGACUUACAGUCUGUUUCCCCAAAGUUACUCAACUGUUGCAAUUUGGAGCUUGCCGUACCAGGAACAUAUCGUGCAGGAGGACCAUUAAUAACCAUAGCAAGAUUUGCUCCACAGCUUGUUGUAAUAACGUCCAAACAACGGCCUCGUAAAUUGACCAUUCAUGGAAGUGACGGAGAGGACUAUGCAUUUUUACUGAAGGGUCAUGAAGAUUUGCGGCAAGAUGAGCGUGUCAUGCAGCUUUUUGGCCUGGUGAAUACACUACUGGAGAACUCCAGGAAAACUGCAGAGAAGGAUCUCUCUAUUCAACGCUACGCUGUUAUACCCUUGUCUCCUAAUAAUGGAUUAAUUGGUUGGGUUCCAAAUUGUGAUACCCUUCACCAUCUGAUUCGUGAAUACAGGGAUGCUAGAAAGAUUUUCUUAAAUCAUGAGCACAGAUUGAUGCUGGCUUUCGCCCCAGAUUACGAUCAUCUCCCACUUAUUGCCAAAGUUGAAGUUUUUGAGCACGCUCUGCAGAGUACUGAAGGGAAUGAUUUAGCAAAGGUGCUGUGGUUAAAAAGCAGAACUUCUGAGGUCUGGCUUGAUAGGCGUACUAACUAUACAAGAAGUUUGGCUGUCAUGAGCAUGGUGGGUUACCUGCUGGGGUUAGGUGAUCGUCAUCCAAGCAAUCUUAUGUUGCAUCGAUACAGUGGAAAAAUUUUGCAUAUUGAUUUUGGAGAUUGUUUUGAGGCUUCAAUGAACAGGGAGAAGUUUCCUGAGAAGGUUCCCUUUCGCCUGACAAGAAUGCUUGUUAAGGCUAUGGAGGUUAGUGGCAUAGAAGGCAAUUUUCGAUCCACUUGUGAAAAUGUGAUGCAAGUUCUAAGACAAAACAAGGACAGUGUCAUGGCCAUGAUGGAGGCCUUUGUCCAUGACCCUCUGAUAAAUUGGCGCCUGUUCAAUUUUAAUGAAGGUCCUCUUAUGCCCAAUUUUGUGAGCACUCAUGCUCAACCAAUUGUAAAUAGUGAUGAACCAGUACCCCAAGGAGAGCUUCCUUCUCAACCUCUGCGUGGAGCACGGGAAAGGGAAAUUCUUCAGGCUGUCAAUCAACUGGGUGAUGCAAAUGAAGUGCUGAAUGAGCGUGCAAUUGUGGUUAUGGGUCGAAUGAGCAACAAACUGACUGGUCGCGAUUUCUCUUCUGGGUCUUCGGGAUCAGUCACGACCACCACAGCUCAGCAUGCAUUGGACCACAGUACAAUGGCUAGCAGUGAUACACGGGAAGCAGAGCAGGGAUUGAGUGUUAAACUUCAAGUUCAGAAGCUCAUUCUACAAGCAACUUCACAUGAGAAUUUGUGCCAAAAUUAUGUCGGGUUUGUAUCUUACCAUGGUCCGAUGGACCAUGGCUUAUGGAACUCCAAGAUUACAUCCACCAUCCAUGGCCUCUGAUUGUUGGUCAUAAUUGACUGUGCCUGUGGUGAAUGCCCCAGCAAUCUUCUGCCCAGUUAAUUUCAAACCCUUCAGCAGUAGGAAUGAACAGUGGAUGUAGCUUGGAGUAUCUCAUACCACAGUCCACCGAACUUGUGUUCUUCCGUGUAAAUCUCCCCUGGUGGUGUCCAUUUUGGUGAGCAGCCAAUGAAAUUCUGUUGUGUAAAUAUGUUAAGUGUUGUAUAUAAUAUAUGGCCGUUGAGAAACAAUAACAUUAUUUAUGAGAAAUAUGUUUUUUAUUGUAUUCUUCAACCA